rnacentral:lncRNA from 1 species
UUCUGGGCUCUUGCUAAUGGGGUCAGGAAGACUAUGGGGCUCUGUUGCUUUGGGGGCAUCGGGCUAUCGGGGCUCAAGGUUUGGGGCACAGGGCUAUUGGGGCAUGGGGUUAUGGGGCUCUGUUAUAUGGGGCAGGGGGUUAUGGGGCCCUGUGCUAUGGGGGGCACGCUAUGGGGCUGUACAGGUUGGGGUGUUUGCUAUAGGGCGCUAUGCCUAGGGGGUGUUUCGCUAUGGGGCAGGGAAGUAUGGGGGUCGGGGCUCUGGGGCACAGGGCUAGGGGCACGAGCUUUGGGGCACAGAGCUAUGGGGGCUCGGGCUAUGCGGGGCACAGGCUCUGGCACAGAGCUAAUGGGCGCCACAGGCUAUGGGCUCGGGCUCUAUGGGCACAGAGCUAUGGGGCACGCUAUGGGGCUCGGAGCUAUGGGGCAUCGGGGCUAUGGGGUCUGUUGUAUGGGGUUCGGGCAUAUCGGGUGAUGUGCUAUGGGCGGGCACAGAGGUCACUGGGGACACGCUAUGGGGCAGCGGGGGU